rnacentral:sRNA from 1 species
GCUGGGUGUUGUGGCACAUACCUGUAAUCUCAGUGACUGUGGAGGCAGAGGCAGGAGGAUUGCAAGUUUGAGGCCAGCCCAGGCAAUUUAGUGAGAUCCUGUUUUAA